rnacentral:rRNA from 1 species
GACGAACGCUGGCGGCGUGCUUAACACAUGCAAGUCAAGGGGGCUCGCAAGAGCAACCGGCGAACGGGUGCGUAACACGUGAGCAACCUGCCUAAGUGUGGGGGAUAGCCGGCCCAACGGCCGGGUAAUACCGCAUACGCUCACUGGGUGGCAUCACCUGGUGAAGAAACUUUCGAGGCACUUAGAGGGGCUCGCGGCCUAUCAGCUUGUUGGUGGGGUAAUGGCCUACCAAGGCACGACGGGUAGCUGGUCUGAGAGGAUGGCCAGCCACAUUGGGACUGAGAUACGGCCCAGACUCCUACGGGAGGCAGCAGUGGGGAAUAUUGCGCAAUGGGCGAAAGCCUGACGCAGCGACGCCGCGUGGGGAGUGAAGCAUUUCGGUGUGUAAACCCCUGUUGCUCGGGACGAAAAGCGAUUUUGAUCGCUCUGACGGUACCGAGUGAGGAAGCACCGGCUAACUCCG